rnacentral:rRNA from 1 species
CCAUGCCGGACCCUGACGUGCUAUCAGAGUGGGACUAAGCCACAUGUGGAGUCAACGCAGACAAUGCGUGGCAUACGAGCUCAGUAACACGUAGUCAACAUGCCCAGGGGACGUGGAUAACCUCGGGAAACUGAGGAUAAACCGCGAUAGGCCAAGGUUUCUGGAAUGGAUCAUGGCUGAAACCUAUAUGGCCCCUGGAUUGGACUGCGGCCGAUCAGGCUGUUGGUGAGGUAAUGGCCCACCAAAAACCUGUAACCGGUACGGGCUCUGAGAGGAGGAGCCCGGAGAUGGGCACUGAAGAACAAGGGCCCAGGCCCUAUGGGGCUCAGCAGGCGCGAUACCUCUGCAAUAGGCGAAGCUUGACAGGGUUACUCUGAGUGAUGUCCGGUAAGGGCAUCUCUUGGCCCCUCUUAAAUGGUGCAGAAUAAGGGGUGGGCAAGUCUGGUGUCAGCCGCCCGGUAAUACCAGCACCCCGAGUGGUCGGGACGAUUAUUGGGCCUAAAGCAUCCGUAGCCGGUUCUGCAAGUCUUCCGUUAAAUCCACCUGCUCAACAGAUGGGCUGCGGGGGAUACUACAGGGCUAGGAGGCGGGAGAGGCAACCGGUACUCAGUGGGUAGGGGUAAAAUCCUCUGAUCCACUGAAGACCACCAGUGGCGAAGGCGGCUUGCCAGAACGCGCUCGACGGUGAGGGAUGAAAGCUGGGGGAGCAAACCGGAUUAGAUACCCGGGUAGUCCCAGCUGUAAACGAUGCAGACUCGGUGAUGGGUUGGCUUCGAGCCAACCCAGUGCCGCAGGGAAGCCGUUAAGUCUGCCGCCUGGGGAGUACGGUCGCAAGACUGAAACUUAAAGGAAUUGGCGGGGGAGCACCACAGGGGGUGAAGCCUGCGGUUCAAUUGGAUUCAACGCCGGA